rnacentral:lncRNA from 1 species
UGCAACAACAGUAACUCAUAAACUUCUAUAAAGGUAAAUAUGAUCAAUUUAAGCAUAAACUCAACUAGUUUAGACAUUACUCUUGAACAAUGAGUGAGAUGUUUAAAUUUCUCAACCCUAGUUAUGUGAAGAAAAAGAAUAGAAUAAAAGGUAAGGUAGGUUUUAAAAAUUGAAAUAAAAGUAAACAAAGUGAAAAAAAAAAGCUGGAGUAUUUUUAAGCGAGACCAGACUUUCUAACUCAAAAUAAGAUUUGAGAAAGGUUUGAAAUGUCGACGUGGAUGAAAAUAUUGAGGUCUCAAAUUUAUCUAAAGCAACAAAGGUAACAAUAAACAGUAGAUGUCAGUGGCGUAUUAUAUAAAGAAAAAGAAAAAAAAUAAAGACAUUUUAUAGUUAAGAUAUUAGUAUUAAUUCUCUUAUAUUUAAAUUGAGUUUUUGUUGCUAAAAUUUGAUGCUUGUAAUUUAUAUGGAUUAAUUGCAGAAACAAAUAUAGAGGUGUUUUAGUAGAAAAAUUAUAGAAGGAGGAUUGAAUCUCCAUCGUCUUUAGACUGAAACUCAUUUUCACGAAUCUAUAAAAAUGUUAAAAGUAUCAGUGGAAGUAUGAACCAAAAAUAAUUGAAGAGUAUGGUUUGGGGUAAUACGAUAAAUAAUCUAUGGAAGAAAAGGGGAGUAAGAAAUAUACAAAUAAUAUAAUUUCUGUCUCUCUCCUUUUCUCUAAUCUAAUGGAGGAGUUGGCUUUGCUGACAAUUCCCGUCAAAAGAAAAAGCGGCAAAAGCCGAGGGGCCAUAGCCAUAGCACAUUUCACAUAGCACACACGAUUCAUUCCAAUUUCUCUUCCUUUCCAUUUCUGUUUUCUUCUCUUUGUUCCUCAUAAUCCCAUCUGUCUCUCCAUUUACUCUUUUUUUUCCCUUCAUUUCUAAUUACCCAUCUCCCAAAAUCCGGUCUGGCAGCGAUCAAUUAUGGUUUCUCUCUUCGAUUCCUCGUUUCAGGUAUUGGGUUGAUCUUAAUUUUUCGUUUGGUUCCAGAAUCGGGGUUUGCCUUUGUUGUCAUACUGCUCUUUUAGCUUGAUCUUGUGUUUAUGUUUUUCUACUUUUUCAAGUAUUGGUGUUUCUUUGUUGACCUUGUUAGUUUUGUGCUUUUCGUUUAAUCUGGCAGAUAUAAUUGAUUGGGUUAGAAGCAUGCGGGAAGAGGGAGACAGAUAUGAGAUUGACAAUGGAAAUGGGGUUUCGUGUUAGGAAAUUUGUAGUCGUAUCUAUCAGAACUUGCUACAGAUCAGUUCGUAACUAUCCGUUUCUUUUCGGGUUGCUGUGUUUUUUGAUUCUUCUGUAUAGAUCGUGUCCGUUUUUGUUUUCCCUUUUGGUGUCUGCGUCCCCUGUUUUGAUUUGCACAGCUGUUUUGCUUGGAACUCUUCUGAGUUAUGGGCAGCCUAAUAUACCUGAAAUUGAAACGGAGGAGAAGGUUUCACGUGAUGUAGCUUCUUUGAGAUCUGGGAUUUUGGACAAUGCUACUGUUGUUGCUAAGGAGGAUGAUAGUUUUACUGUAGAGAGAUUUGAAGGUAAUGAAGUAGAAAAUUCUUAUGUGGUAAGGGGUCCGGAAGAAGAGCGGAAGACAGGCAAGCUUGAUGAACAUGCUGGUUUUGUUGACUUUGUCCAGGUGAUCCAUGAACGCAAUCGUGAAAUUCAGUUUGAGAAGGGUGGUAUUGAGGAGUUUGAGGAGUUUGAGAAGGGUGAAGUUGAGAAGGCAGCAGGAGAGAAGGAAUUCCAUAACUCAGAGUUGGAGGAAAGGAGAGAAAUUUAUAAAAAGGAUUUGGAUAUUAGAAAUUUGGCAACAGAUGAUGAAAAUGCUGUGGAGAACCAGCUUUUGGCUGCCCAAAGCAUGAGAAAUGAGAUUCUUGAAGUAGAAGAUCGUAACAUAUCAAUAGAACCUGUUCAUAAAGGUGAUCAUCUAAGCUUAUCUCUCAAUGAUAAAGAUGAUCAUGAUGAAAAUGGUUAUGAUUCUUCAGGUUCUGAAUCUGAUAGAGCAGAAAGCUCUUCGCCUGAUGCCUCAAUGGCUGAUAUCAUACCUUUGCUGGAUGAGUUGCACCCUCUCUUGGACUCAGAAACUCCACUACCUGCCCAUAGGUCGAAUGAAGAGUCAGAUGCUUCUUCAGAACAAUCUCAUAAAAGUGAUGGUGAAUGUGUGAUGUCAGAUGAUGAGGCUGAAAAUCAAGGAGAAGAAGGUGGUGUUGUUGAACAUGAUGAGGAUGAGGAUGACGACGACGAUGAGGGGAUGCAGGAAGAGAAAGAGGAUGAGAGCAAAUCUGCUAUCAAGUGGACAGAGGAUGAUCAAAAGAAUCUCAUGGAUUUGGGAAGUUUAGAGCUAGAGAGGAAUCAGCGUUUGGAAAAUCUCAUUGCAAGGAGAAGAGCAAGGAACAACUUGAGAAUGUUGGCUGGGAAGAAUUUGAUAGAUUUGGAUGGUUUUGAACUUCCUGCAAACGUACCACCCAUAUCUACAGCCAGACGUAACCCAUUUGAUCUCCCUUAUGAUUCAUACAGUAAUAUGGGAUUACCACCAAUUCCUGGGUCUGCUCCAUCCAUUUUGUUGCCAAGACGUAAUCCAUUUGAUCUCCCAUAUGAUUCAAAUGAAGAAAAACCAGAUCUCAAGAGUGACGACUUUGAACAAGAAUUUUUGGCACCUCAACAGAAAGAUAUGUUCCGAAGACAUGAAAGUUUCAGUGUGGGCCCCUCAAACUUUGCAGUUCCCAAGCUAGAGCAGCAGAAUAUUAGAUGGAAACCAUAUUUCAUGCCUGAAAAAAUAGCUGCCGAAGGAACAAGCUACUCACCACUGGAGAGACAAUUUAGUGAAGUCAGUGAAUCAAAAAUGAGUUCUGUUUCCGAUACCGAAUCAAUGAGUUCUAUUGCAGAUCAGGAUGACAAGAAGCCUGAUGAAUCACAGUCUUUUCUGGAAACAACAGCGGUUUCUUAUCUUCACCCCACAGCCAGUGGUAUUGAGCAUGGAAAUGGGCCAUGGGAGGAUAUAGGCUCUGAAGAUUAUGUACAAGAAAACAGAGAUGUGCAUCAUGAAGUGAUUGAGAUAACUUUGGGAUCUACCGAGAGUCAUUUUGAGAGCCAAUCUGGAUCCUCUGCCAUCAGAGGUGCAGAUACCCCAUUGGAGAUUAAUGCCAGUGAAAUUCACUCCAAAAAUGUAUUAGUUGAAACGGAUUUCAGCAGCAAUUCCAGCUUGUCUUCAUUGUCAGAAGAAGAAAAUGAAACGGCAUUUGAGGUCAAAACAGAUGAGGUGAAACCAAGUAGCAAUCAUACAGAGGAAUCUAGCAUCGAUACUACGAACAUAUCAGUGCCAGCCCUUGAAGAAGAUGGAGACUUCAAGCAUGCCAGUGAAGUGUUGGAUGACAAUCAGCAUAGGGAGCCUGUUUACGACUCAAGCCCUUCAGCAGAAGGUAAGCUCUCAUUUUCACCUGUUUCUUCUGAUAUGUAUACAGAAAUAACCAAUAUAUGGGCCCUCUUCUUUCUUUCUUUUGUUUUUUUUGUUGACACAAUUGACCUCUUUUCAGGUAAGGAAUCUGAAGUUCAUUCUGAAAUAGAGCAGGACAUCACUUCCAGUUUGAAAGAUAUGGAUGAUGUCUCCUCAGGGUUACAUAUAGUCAAUAAAAAUGAACAAGAGUCGAGGGAAGUUUCUGAAGUUAUUGUUCAUGAGGUUACAAAGGUCAAGUCCCCCAAACACGACACCAAUUAUGAUGCUCAAAACUUAUCUGUGGUCCCUGAAUUUUCAGUUGAGGAUGUUUCAAUAAAUUCUGGUCCGUCCUUCUCAGACAAUGCCCCGAUGGAGAAAGGAAUAGUUGAUAGUGUGAAGGAAGAUAAAGAUCGGCUGACAAGUCAUGUGGAGGAUAUUGUUGAUGGAGUUCACAAAAUUGAAGAUGAGAAUCUAGAUUCCUCACCUUCAUGUGAUAAGAUAUCUUCUCGGAGUCUGACUUUUACCGAACCAGAGGACAAACUGUCUUCAGCCGUAAACCAUGUUUCAGCAGAUAUUGGGUCACCUUCAAAUGCUAAACAUGUAGAAAUGCAUGAAACAGUAAAUAACGAAGAAAGUCCUGAACUUGAACAAACAAAAGUCGCUAGAUCAAGUUCAUUGGAUAGCAGUUCUGUGCGGGAAGUAAUUUUACAAACUGAUGUUGUUUGUCAUACUGAUCAACCUACUACUUCUAUAUUAAAUCUUGGUUCAGAAAUCCCUGCUCAGGACACCAAUGACCUGAUUGGAACGAAUGAUUCUGGGUCUAUUUCUCAUGACCAUUUGACUACUACCAAUGCAACCAUUCCUGAAUCACAGGAACAAAAGUGUCCAGAGGUGGAGGAGCAAGUUGAAUUGAUUUCUUUGAGUUCGACACUUCCUCCUAAAUUUGAGCAAGUUGAGGAGCAGUCGAUGAACGAAAAAGAAGUUGUUAGGUCUGAACAAGAUAUUGUUGAGCCCUCAAGUGUCAAGUCACACACAGAGAGUGAAGACCUGCAAAAUUUGGAUAUAAAAAAUUCUUCUUCAGGUUCUAGUACUUCUGACGUGACUCCUGAAGUUAUUUCAUCUGUUACUGAAUUAGGGCAGUCGUGGUCAGACAAGUCAAUGGUUGAACCUGUUCUUAGUAACCGUGACAAUGCUCAGGUAAGUGCUGCUAGAUUAGUGAUCUUUUGCAUACUUUUUAUGUUGAUCUCUUUCUAUGACAUCAAGGAUCUUAAAAGAUCCAAAUAUUGCUAUUACAUCAAUGAUCUUGAAAAGAUCCAAUCCCAGAGUUACUUGUGUAUCAUAAUGUUGCUUCCAUCAUGGAUUAGAUAUUGGUCAAACUUGAUAAAUAAUUAUUAUAUUUGCCAUGGCCUGUGGAUAAUCUUAUCUGCGUGGUCUUAUUUUCAUGAGAUCGAGCACACCACUGUAGCUUUCGCUUUUAGCUGAUCUGAGUAUGAUAAUUAUUGUACCAUGAUACCAUGUUAUUUAAUGAAGUGUUGUGACUUUAUGAGAAGUAAUAUAAUCAUAGUUUGAAUUUAGUGAAUUAAAAUGACGAUAUCAAGCUGAUAUUUUGCAGGAACCAGGUGAUUUUUCGACAGAUUUUGCUGCUGAAGUAAUCUCUGAAAAUACAUCACCAAGUGUUCAUCAAGACAUUUCGGCUGCUCAAUCUUCUGUAGAACCUGAUUCCCCCUCAUGUUCGUCAGAUAAUGACUUCAGUUCACCCAGUACUGGAAGGUAUCCAAAAGAUGGCAAGGAUGGAGUUGUAUUUCAGGAUCGUGAGGAUGUUUCGAAGCAUUUGGACUUUCUGGCAGAAGCAUAUGGAUAUCGUUUUUCAGAAAAGACGAUUAGGGAAGAGGUAGAUGAAAUAGCAGAUAUUGAUGAAGGUUUGUUAUUGGAAUUGGAGGAAGUUGGGGAUUUCAGCGUCAAAGAAGUUGGGGAACCAGUUCUUGAGAAAAAGGUACUCCCAGAGGAAGCUCAAGAAGAAAGAUUUGAAUUGGGUUCUAAUUCCAAUUCGACAGAAGCUAAAUCAGAUAUACCAAUUCUUGAAGCAAGAACACUGGCUGAUAUCAACUUGGCCUUUAGGCAACUCCAAGAAGGGGUAGAUGUGGAGGAUGUCAUUCUCCUCAGUGCGAUUGAAAGCCAAGUUAAUGAAGACGCCAAACCCGAAACAAGUUCAGAUUUGGAGGUUGUGGAAGCGAGAUCCCUGGGAGAUAUUCAUGACGCAGUGUUGCAUGCAUUGGAGAGUAAUAUUGAUGAACUAGGAUCUAGUUCCAACAGCUCAGAAACCAAAUCGGAUAUACCAAUGCUUGAAGCAAAAUCACUCGAUGAUAUCAACUUUGCUUUUAGGCAACUCCACGAUGGAGUUGACGUGGAGGACGUCAUUGAAGUUAAUAGCCAAGUUACCGUAAAAGCCAAGCCUGAAACAAGUUCGGAUUUGGAAGUCGUUGAAGCAAGAUCUUUGGGAGAUAUCCAUGUUGCUUUGAUGCAACUCUCGGAGAAAAACAUAGAUGAGUCAGGUUCUAGUUCCAAUCCCACUGAAACUAAAUCAGAUAUACCAAUUCUUGAAGCAAGAUCACUUGAUGAUAUCAACUUAGCUUUUAAGCAACUCCAUGAAGGAGUAGAUGUGGAGGAUGUCAUCCUUCCCAGUGCGAUCAAAAGCCAGGUUGAAGAAGGAGCCAAAACUGAAACAAAUUCAGAUUUGGAAGUCGUUGAAGCAAAAUCACUGGGAGAUAUUCAUGUUGCCUUGAUGCAAUCCUCAGAGAAAAACUUGAAUGAACUUCCAGAAAGUUCUGUGUCAAAUGUUCCAUCAGAGGGAUUAGAACCAGCUGGAGUGGAUUCUAUCAUUGAGACUGCUUCAUCUAACGCGACCAAUGCCGAUAAAGCAGAAGCAAAUACAGUUGAUGAAAAAUCUGUAGAUCCAAACGUUUCUGCUUCCAAAAACAAAGACAAGAAGGAAAAGUCUGGAAAAUCUUCUGGAUCCAGCUCCAGCUCAAGCUCUAGCGAUUCUGAUUGAGAUUGAAAAGUCUAAGAGGUAAAAGGAGUAGAAUCAUGUGGAGUUUCCUUUUGGGGUUUCCUCUUCAGUCUUCAUUUCAAGAUUUUUUUUUCAAAAAUUUUCUUUUUGGGUUUGGUUUUCCAGUUUGGUUACCUUAUUCUUUGUUUACAGUGCAAUCUUUUGAAAAAAUGAGUUGUGGUUGAUUUCUUGUAAUUGUGCAAGUUUCCAGGAUCCCCAUCCACCCCUUAAGAGUUUGAAGUUUGAGGGAGAAAGGUGGUUUUUUUUUCUUUUUCUACUGUGUUUUCUUUUUUUCUUUCUUUCUUUCUUUUUUUUUUUUUUUUUGUUUAAAUCUGUAUGUAAAAAUUUUGUUGUAUUAUUUGAUGAAUUGGCAAUUAUUGCUUCAGAUUUCGAAGAUCCUAUUUGAAUUUAAUGUUGAUCAAGUUUCCAGGUAAAUUCCAGAGAUAUCAUCACAUUUUGGUCAGUGGUUUAUUGGGUAUAGCAAUACAGUAGAGAUUAAUAUUCUAAAAUAGUUCAAGUUCAUACUAUAGACCUAAUUCAUCAUAUUUUGGGUUUUUGAGUUCUCGAUUCCCCAGGCAAAAGUAUCUGUCUUCAAAAAGACCCAUAAAAAUUAACAUGGCAGUUGGUCAUUUUCUUUCAAACUGUUGCAUUCUUAUAUGAAAAUUCAAGAAUGAAAUCUUAUUGCUACGCUCAAUAUCCCGCUUCAUCCUUUGGAACCAUAUCAUUCCCGGAUCUAAUGAAAUAGGAUGAAUUGAGACGGUAUUUUGUAAACACAUGUAAUUAUCCUGAGUAUAUUACUUAUCUCUUUAUUUCUUGAUCGACAAAAGAAACAUCUUGUUCAAUCUUUAGUACACCCAUAUGAUGUUCUGAUAGAUCCAUUUCACUCCAAAACGAAGCAGGUUUCUUUCCCCUUUUGUUGGUGACAAUUUGCAUUUGCUUAAUCCUACAACUAACCUCUGUGCUACUACUUCAAUCCAUAUACACCACAAGAAAUCGAAGGAUUCUCAAUGCCGAAAUAGAUAUUGGAAACUAGUACGUCCGAAUCUCCUCUCAUUCUUGACGCUUGUGAAAUAACGACCAUAUAGGAGAGCAAUCUGACUCUAAAUUGAAACGUCGGGAAUACUUUGCCAAUUUGAUUUUUUUUAAAAUUUUUCACAUUUGUUCAAUUCCAUGGAAAGAAACAUCCGAGAAAGUAAAAAUAAUGAUUUAACUUUUUAACUUUCCCCGAUGGCAUGGAAAGAAACGUCGGAAAAAGUAAAAAUAAUUAUUUAAUUGUUUAACUUUUUUCGAUGCCAUGGAAGGAAAUGCUGGGAACUAGAAAUAAUUAUUUAAUUGUUUAACUUUUCCCUCAACGUCUACGUUGACCACAUUGGGGCAAAAUUGAAUAAUUAUUUGAUUUUUUUUCUCGAUGCCAUGGAACGAAACGUUAGGGAAAGUAAAAAUAAUUAUUUGAUUGUUUUAACUUUCCCCAAUGUCUAUGUUGACCACGACGAGCAAAAUUGAAUAAUAAUUUAAUUGUUUAACUUUCACUGAUGCCAUGUAGGAACGUCGGCGAAAUCUCCAACCAAUAUCGACGCCAUUAGUGAAACGUCAGUAUUGGUUGGCACUAUCCCCGAUGUUUCACUUUAUGAUGUUGGGGAUAGUAGGAUUUUUUUACGUUUUCGAGAUGUGUCAAAAAAUCCUAUAUCUAUUUCAAUUCUUUGUUCACCCAAAACGCAAAGAAAAGAGUAAGAGGCUGAGAGAGAGAGAGAUUGUCCUCACUGUUUAUCGUCCGUCCACCGUCGCCACCGCCUCCCUCGUCGUCCUAUUUGGUCAACACCACUCUAAAUGAAGGUUUGUUUUUUUUAAAAAAAAAUGUAUAUAUUAAUAUAAUUUAUUGAAAUUGUUUGCAUGUUCUUUAGUAUUUUUGUUUUACUUUAGGUUUAGUUAUUAGUUUUAGAAUUUAGAUUUUAAAAUAGUUUUAGGAUUUAUAUUUUGAAUUAAUUUUAGAUUUUAGUAUUGAAUUUGAAUUGUUUUUAGGAUUUAAGACUGAGGAUGAGAUUGAAUUUGAGAUUGAUAAAUAAUUUGAAUGUGUUGAGAUUUGUGAGAGUUAUAUUGAAUUUAAUGGGGGUUAUAUUGAAUUUGAAGGAGGUUUUAUUGAAUUGGGACGGGGUGUUGGUUGAAUUUGAGAUUGAAUUUGAAUUUCAAUAUUUGGAAAUAUUAGAUAGAUUGUCAAAAGGUUAAAGUAAUUUGUGGUUGAUUUGUUUUAUGGCUACGUUGCAGUUAUGGUAUGGUAGCCUUUUUAUGUAAAAAUUAUUUUAAUAGCAUAAGUGAAUAAUUUUAACACGAUUUUAAGGAUGAUAAAAUUUUGAAUUUAAAUUAUUAUUAACAAUAUACGACUAUUUGUAUAAAUUUUUAAAGAAAAUUUUAGUAUUUUGGUGGUUUCAAAUCAAAAUUUAAAAUAUAUUUUAAAAUAACAAUUAUGAAAAAUAGUUAAAGGCUAGUAACAAGAUAAUAUAAAUAUUUUGAAAUUAUGUUUGACAUCCAAAAUCAAUGGAGUAGCACGAUUAUAGGAGAAGAUUAAACUUUUCUUAGAAUAAUCGUAUAUACACACGUUAAAUGCAUCACAAUUAGAGGAGUAAGAUAUAGUUUUAAUUUUAAUUUAUUAUUAUGUUCAAUAAAUUGUUAUUAGAAAUAUGAAAAGUUUAGGUAAAUCAAUCAAACAACACGAUUAGAGAGAAAGAUCAAAAAAAAAAUUAGAAUUAUAGUGGUAAGAUACAAUUUUAAUUUUAACAACCAUAACUAAAUAAAUUGUUAAUUAUUUGAUUUGAAACCUAAAUGAAAAUGUAGAGGAUGUUGAUUCAGAUGCAUCCGAGAAAAUAAAUAUUUAUUUAAUAUUUUUAUAAAACUGAAUUAUUUGCAAAUAGACUGUGUUCGUGAUUCUAGGUUAUAUUUCAUCAUUUUAUCUAUCGAAUUAGAAUUUCUUGCUAUAAAGGGUAAAAUCGACUGCAAAAAUGUAAAAAAAUUUCUACAUCAAGCAGUUUUGCUAUAAAUUAAAAUAUUUUUGGAAUUUGCUAUUUUCGAGUUUGUUAUCUAUUAUUUUGUCAUUUUCACAGUUUUCUAAAAAAAGAAUGAAAAAUAAAGUUUUUAAAAAGCGUGGGUAAAAGCUUUGUCAUCAUGUAAAUUACGUCGACAAAUAUUUAAAAUAUUUUCCACACAAUACGUGUCAAAAAAACUAAAAUAAACAUUGGUAGAAAUCUAACUUAAAUUUUUCUUUAAGAUCACAUAAAUUUUUGCUCACAUGUAUAUUUUCGUCGACAAAAACGAUGAUGUGCCAAUGUAAUAAAACUACGUGGAUACAACAUAUCUCUGCCCACAUUUUUUUACAUUGCUGUAAAAAUUGGUUGACAAAAACUAAAAUUCUUAUAGUGUAGCACAAGACUUUACAGCGUGCUACAAGCUAGAUUAUGGUUCAUUUCUUCAUGAAGUACAUUUGGCUUCUCCCAAGCUCAAUGGAAUAAGGGUUGCCCCAUCCCGACUCAAACAAUUUAUUGAAAAAGUUAAACCCCUCAUCACUAUUAUAGCUCGUGGAGUGGAACACUAUUAUAGCUCGUAGAGUGUAUGGAAUAGUUAAACUAUUGUCCCCUCCAAUAGAAAGCAAAUUGAAGUAUGUAAUUAGGUGAAAUGUCAACACUAAUUUGUACAAGCUAACGUAGUAAACAUAAUACAUAACAUAAUACAGGUGAGAUUCUAAUCUAAAUUAGACAACAGUGGGUCUCAUCGUAAGUUUAUACACCAUUUGUCCAUCUCUCUCUUUCCCUUAUCAUCACAUUGUUUCUUAUUUCAUUCUUCCCUUCUCCACCUUGAAUUUAGGUGGGCUUAGACACACAUCUCCCGUCAAAGGAACAUUAAACACAAGAUAUUAAUUGUUGAUUAACUUGAUGGAAAGUUGCAAAGUGGUAAAAAUGUUUAGUGGAGAUUCCAAUGACAAUUUAAAAAGUAGGCAAGUCACCAAAUUCAAUUUUUGUAAUAAAAUCUAGCACAAAAAAAAAAUGGCAUAAGAAGUGGGAAGAUGAGUAUAGUGAUGAUUAUAAAAUGGUUGUCUGGUUUAUGAUAAGAAUAAUCAUGGUAAAAAGGGACAAGUGCAAUUAUAACCAUCCACAGUAUACAUAUAUAGCCCAAUAUAAAUUCAAAUUCAGCUCGUAAAGUUUAUUAACAAUAGACUAGAUCGUUGUCAAGAGUCUAUUAUUAAUAGACUAUAUCACAAAUAAAUUUUGCUACAUUUGUAAUUCUUAAAAAAUGUUACAGUGCACUUUUUUACUAUGAGAAGUGUAUCCAUUGCAAUAACCAUCGUACGUAAGAAUAAAGAAUUGAAAUGUCCAAACGGAAAGCAAGCAUUAGAAUGUUCCUAAGUCAAAUAGCACUUAUAAUUUAAAAGCGCAUCUCAUUCCCAUAGGUCAAUUUGAUGAUACAAGUCAUUAAACUCACCAGAAACUCGUAGCUAGUUAGUUGCAUGACAAAAGAAAACCCUUGAGACAAAGGGUAAGUAUACAUUGUGUAGCUAAUAUUCUCUCAAAAGGAAGCCGUAAGCCAACUGAAGUUUCCAAAUCCUAAGAUGAAGACAUGGUAUAGAAUGUUCUUAUACUUUUUGGUAGGAGAAGCAAUAAAUGAUCUUUUCAAAGUUAAAAUAAUAAUACAAAUAGAAAGAGAAAAUGGUAGAAUCUUAUUGUGUGUCUCUCUCCUUUUGCUUUUGUUUUCCUCGAUCAAUAACAUCUUUCCAAAAAUCUACUAUGUUAACCAAAACCUUUGAAGAAUCAACUCCUAUUUUGGUUCAGCACAUAAAAAAUGAUAAAGCAGUAACUUGUAGCCUUGUUCUACUACCUCACCAGCAGGCAUUUCUACUAAAAUAGAAAAAGUAUUAUAUUCCCACCACCACGUAACAAGAUUUGUAGAGAUUGUUCGGUGGGCUAGAAUGAAAUCAGAUUACUAGGAACAUAAGAGCGUUGGGAUGCAUCUAAAAUUGAGGGUAAAACAGAAAUUGAAACAUGAUAACAGUAAAAAAAAAGAUUGGGUUAAAUACUGUCGGAAUUGAAUAAAGUUUAGUAUUACAAAUCAGACUCAAAACACUCAAUCCAAACAUAGGUUUUGGAGUACAUUGCAUUGUAAACUCAUUCCAUUCCGGUUCACCAAACAGCCUAACAGUUCCAAGUAAACCAGAAAAACAACUGCUUAUUAUCGGGAAGGUGAGAAGGUGACAGGCUCCAUGACGAAAACAAAUGAAAGAAAAUGUAUACAGCCAAUGAGAUAUGGUCCACAUAAAAAUACAGAAAAGGCCAUAGAUUAAAGGAAAAACAAGGAAUAGUUUUGCCAUCCCUUGAGAUAGAAGAUCUACCUGGAAUUGGAUUUUUGUCACCUCGAAAUUGAUACUAAAAAACUCAUAAUCAUAGGGUAAUGAAACAGAUACACUAUAGUAGGAUCUUUGCAUGAAUCAACAGUCAAAAGUCUAUGCUAUUAGCUCUACUAGAGAUGAAUUAUACACAUACAUGACUGAAGUUCUCCUUCAACCUUUCGUUUCUACAAAUGGGGGAAGUGGCAGAAAUAGAUUAGAAGCUCACUAGGACAUGUGACUCAAGAAUCUUCUAUUUUCACUUGAUAAUCAUCAAUAGUUUGUUUCAUUCCAUCCAACUUCGAAACCAUAUAUUCCAGUUUCUUGCAGCAAAGUUCGUUAGUAAUCCUUGAACUAUAAUCACAUUUCUCAAAUGGACGAUAUUCACAUGCACUUUUGAUUUCAUCCCGCAAUGUAACUUGGAUAUCCUGAUUUCAAGGAAGUAAAAAUGUCACGUUAUUCCUCAAAUAUAGUUCAAAGAGAUUUUAGGUGAAAUACAGGAUUGCAUUGAGACACUUUCAAAUGAAACAUUUACUUUACUAGUGAGAGAGAAACACCUAUUAUGAACUUCCAAAAAGUAGAAAGGGGGGUGCUUUCAAGAUUUUUUAAUAGAUAUUUUGGGCAGGUUGUCAUCAAUUAGAUAACUAUUAUAACUAACUGAGACUAGAGAGUUGUGGAUAGAAAAUAUAUCCAUACUCUUCACUUGAAAUUAAAUAUCGGAGGUUACCAAAUCCUGAUCAUGAUGCUCCAUCUUUAACAUUAUAAAAAAUAAGCAUAACAACCACAAAACAAUUAUCUUUUAAUUCUUCUCUAAAAUCUGUUAGGGUAGGACUCUGAUUCUGAGAACUAAAUGGUAAAAAGUUAAUAUCAAUCAGCAAAAAUAUCCCAACUACACCCUCCAACUCACCCAACAAACUAACAACAAAUUAACAAAGCAUUACGUGCUUAAUAGUAUCCCAGUAUGUUCCCACAAUGUGCCUAAUAGUUCCACGCUUUUCCAGGACGGAAUCUGUUAGACCCCAUUAUUGUUUACAUAUAAUAGAAGAAAUAAAAUGGCACGUGAGGGUGAUGCACGGAAGAAUUCUGACAGAAAUGAGAGUGAGGAAGCUCACGUGGGUGGGACCAGCAGUUAGGGUGAAGAGGGCGGUUAAAUCUGAAGGGGUAGUUAAAUGCUUGGUGGAAGAGGAGAGGGGUACGAAAUUUGUGGAGUCAAAAUAGGCUGCAUUACUCCUUGAGAGAGAGGAGAAGCAGCGGAAUAGGUUCUUUUGUUCUAAGUAAUUUUCUUUAUGUUUUCUGCAUUGAUUUGUUCUUGCAAAUUCUGUUUAGGAUAAGUUCUGUUUGUUGUUUGUGAAUUCUGCUUAUUGUGGUUCUACUUUUGAGGAUCACUAGUAUUUUCAUAUUGUAUCUUCUGUUUGAGAUAUCAAUAUAAUAGAAACACUACAUCAGUGUUCUAUCAACUGGUAUCAGAACCAAGUUUCGAUCCUGGGACAAAAGAUGUAAAGUUUACCUGGAUUCUAGACAUUUUUUUUAACAAAGACAAGCCUCUUUAUGAUAAUAAAUGAUACUUAAGCUCAAAGUACAAGAGUAUUAUACUAAGAGCAAGAGAACUAGAAGAAUACAAUCAAAACUAAAACUGAAGCUAGUUUUUAUUUCGUUGGCAAACAAAAAGAAGGCAACCAAAAAACAAAUUCCAAUGGAAAAUAAACAAACAAAAACAAACGACUCAAAGAUAUAACAAAAGUAGAAAGCUAAAUACAAAUCAAAACUUAAAGUUCUCUCAUAAGGAACCCAUUUGAGACUGAAAACUUGCACGCCCAAAUCUUCAAAAUGAUCAGAGAAAGAGAGCCGCUAAGAAGAUGCAAACAGUUGCCCCAAAUCUGUCUUGCCAAUAUAAACUGAACCCAUAGAAAGCUCGAAAAAGUUUUCAAUACCAUCAGCCUAUCCCAAAAACAAACCUGAGAAGUUACUUCCUUAGGCAGACCAAAGAAAUAAAGAUCAAAAUCAACACCAAUCUCAAGUCAUCUACCACAAUCAGCGAGGUUUUACUUGCCACCUAUGUGAAGAGAAAUUAAGGAAAGCCAGAAAUUGGACCAAUCGUCUGAGAAACUUACAUUUAACUGUCUAAAGAAUCAAAUUAAGAUAAUUUCACAGUCGGCAACUAUGAUUUUAGAUGACCUGGUAUUUCGCAAGACUGGGGACGAGCAAGUAGCAAAGGACAAAAUUUCAGACUUCAAGUCUUCGUUGCAAUGAAAUAGUGCAAGAUCUGUUUCUAAAGACUCAAAAUGCUUCUGCCUCUCAAGCUCGGAUGACUUACUUAGCAUAAAACUCGAAUUUCUCAUUGCUAACGUUGAAAGGGGAGUCAAAGGAAGACUCACCCUUCUUUCUAGAGGGAUUGAUAGGGGUUUUGCUCAAAGAGCCCCUAAAAAGUUUUACCUUCAAGUUGGGCAAAUAGAGCUCUAAGUACUUAAACUGUGUAGGGUGAGAGUCAUGACCAAUUCAAUUAGUAGGACGAGUUGGAGCUAGAAUCUGGGUACAACUAACAUUCAACAAGUCUGGAUUAGCCUCUAAAAACUUGGAUAUGCUGGAUUGGACUAAGGAAUGAGAGUGGGCGCGGAUUGUUUUUAUCAAAUCAAGAGCUUGAUCUCCUAUUAUCUUGGCUUUUAAGGAUUGUUUAGCCUAAGACCUCUUAGAUUUUUUCUUUCAAUGAAAAAAUUUGGGAAUGGCUUGAGGUAAUGUGGGAAGAUUUUGUAAUGUUUCUUUCUUUUUUAUUUUGCUCUUGGGCCUGACUUUGCUGAGGAAUGUUGGAGAGAAGAAGAUGAGAGAGAACCUAAAGAUGAGUUGAAAUGAGCUUAGUUUGAAGGUAUUUUUAAGGGUUCUAGAGCAGCCGUUGAGGGAACUAAAAGUUCUUAUGGCCUAGUGAGCAGCUGCCGAAAAUUUUGCAGGUUAUUAGUGUCUGACGUGUGAGAGGUGCCAUCUGUCCUUUAUUUAAAAAGAUGUCAGCCGAAUUAAUUUGAGAGGAGUUUAAUUGCUUGGUUGUUGUGUGGCCGCAUUGAUUCUUAUUGGGCAAAGCAAGGGAUUCAGUCACAUUUUUCUCUCUUGUUCCCUCUUAGUUUGAAUUGAUUAACCAAAUUUACUGCAAUGGGAGGAAGAUUGCGACAAAAUGAGCAAGGAGCCCUGACCGGUAAAGCUUGGUCGAGAUUACUAUUGAAGUCAACGCAUGGGUUCCUUGAGAAGCUUGGCUUUGAAAGAGACAAAUUGAGAAGAUCUCAUUCCUGGUUAGAAACAUUCAAAUCUAGCCUUCAUCUUUUAAGACAAGAACAAUUCUUGCUAAGUCUAUCGGAUUUGAGAAAUACUUAAUAAAGAGGGCAUCUUGAACGGCUGAGGGCUCUUCAAUAAUUUCAAUAUCUCCAAAGUUGAGAUAAAAUUUUCCAAAAAAAGCAUCCUACUAUUAUCAUUGUUGGUAAAAAACCACAGAGAUUUUCUCACCUUAAUUUUAUCUUUAGACACAUCAACCAUAUUCAAUGUAUCCAAGGAUAUGCUCUCAAGGCCACCGAAAUAAUUCCUAAUUGCAACAAAGACAGACAUCAUUUUUCCAAUAAUCUAACAGUAAGUUGUUGAUGAACAACCACCCUCCAAAUCCUCGAAUAAAUGGCCUGCCAUGUUUGAACUUGUUCCAUUUUUUGACUAAAAGAUGGAAGAUUCCAAUAUGCUGGCAUUUACUAGGAGUCUCAACCAAAUCUUCCAAAUUCCUUCGAGAGAGGCGGAUUAAUGCCUUAUCAGCAUACAAAGGAUUGAUGCUGAUUUUGUCUUGAAAGUGAGCCUCCAGAGUUUUGGCAAUAUCCUUCCCCAAUCAUUAUAUACGAAGAGCCUGGAAAUGAUCCACAUAGUGCUAAAAUCUUCCUCAAUAACCUCUUCAUUCUUGUGCACCCAAUAAGGAGACGUCAGCUACUUGAGUGGUAGAAAUGCAAAUGACCCCAGUGAACGCUCUGUUUUGCUAGUGCUCAAACAAAGGUCAAGGGGUUUUGAAUUCCUGACUUCAAAACAUGGGAGGCUGUAAGGAUUCAAGCUUACCUUUGUUAUGGCUUGGGUUUCCUAACUUCUGCUCAUUAGCUAAAAAAAAUCCGGUCUUAACUCCAUCAGCAUUAGACAAUCUCUGGAACUGCGAAGGGAGUUGAGUUGGAAGCCGAUGACUUGAGAACCAUUUCUUAUUCUCCAAGUUUGAUAAACUGUUCCCACAUCUAGAGGAAGGACGACCACCCCUCUUUGUCUUCCUUUGAAGAAACCUUGAUGGUUGAACGCCCACCUGAAGCCGGCCAAAAAUCGCAACAUAAAACCCCGCCAAUUUCAAAUCUGAAAUUUAAGAUCUUCGUUCUCCCACGGUCUAACUCCCCAAAUUUCAGAAAGAACCGAUCCUUCAAGCCUCGGACUAACUCUGCUAUCGCUACAAGGAACCAAUUCAGAUGGGCUUCUGGGAUGAAUAGGGAUCGUUGAGCUUCCACGUCCUCCACGUGAAAGUGGCCGUUAUCCAGCCAAACGCAAAAGUGCAUAUUUAGUAUUUUGCAACUUGCUACUUCCAUGAGCAAGAACUAAGUUGAAGAAACCCCAGAGAAGACUAAAAGUGAAGCCAAGGAUUGAAGAAGAUGUCGGAGAAAUCACAGAAAGGUACAGAAAAUCAAAGGAUAAGCCAGUAGAAAGAGGAGAGAGGAGAGAGGAGAGAGCAGACCUACCUUACUCCUCCACUCUUCCUCCUUUGUUAGAUUCCUCUGAUUCUGAACUUUUGAUAGGAUGAAAUUUAUUAUAAUAACAUUCUUUAAAUAUGACAAUUAAUCAGAGUUCAAAUUUCUAUAAAUUAGUUGCUUGAAUGUAAGCUUUCCAUGAUAAUUUCCGGUGAAGUUACCAUGAAAAAGAAAAUCUAUUACAUGCUUGAAUUGUUAGAAUAAUGCAAUUAUACAAUGAAGCCUUGCCAUAAAAUUUUCUUUUUUCUUUUUUACAUAAGAAACCAAGCUUUUAUUGAGAGGAAUGGAGGUAAAGGGCAUACCACAAAAACAAAUAAAAAAGAAAACAGCCUCAGCACAAAUACAAGAAAGGAUUCCAAUCAAAAAGAAUGAAAUGAUGUUGGCGAUUACAAAAAGCUCGAAUAUCAAACACCCAUAAUGAGGAAUUAAAGCGAACAAACACCCAAACAGGGAUCAUCUCCAGAUCUUUUAGACCCUCUAAAAAUCCUAUUGUUCCUCUAUCUGAAUUCCCACAAAAUGAACAAAAACAACUAUGCCAUAAGAUGCUUCUAAGACUAAGAGACUAUAGGUUCAAUCCAUGGUAGUCGCCUACUGAAGUUUUAAUAUCCUACACGUUUAGUUGGGGUGUAGCAAAAAGAUACCCCAACUACACUCCACAAGACCUUCCAGAAAUCCUAUUGUUCCUCUAUCCAAAUACUGUAGGGUUAGACAAGUUGUCUUGCAAGAUUAGUCGGUAUGUGUGUAAGCUAGACUGGACACACACAAAAUAAAAAGACUAAAAAAUAUUCAUGCUCAUCCUCCUUACAACAAAAAAUAUACUAUUGCAAUUGAGUGAAUGAUAAUGUCUUUGUAGAAGAUCUUGUGUGUUUACUUUCCCAUCAAGAACUUGUCAAACAAAGACUUCAACAUCAUUAGAAGUUUUAGCUGGCCAAAGAGAGGAGAAUGCAAACGCACCCAAACAGAGAGGAAGGGAGCAAAGAAUACAUGAAAAAAAAAGUGUUACAAGAGAAACCCUUAGAUGGCUUGGGAGCCCAAAAUUUGGAAUCCCUUCACCCAUGAUGGAACACUUCUUUGGGAAAAAUAGAAAGAAGACGAAGGAUCAUUGAAUCGAAGAACCUAAACUUUCAAAUUUACAUACAAAAGUGACUACCCUGAAGGAACCGAACUUUCAUGGAGAGAACAAGAUGAAAGAAAGUAGGGUCAACCAAAAUAAUAAAAAUAAACAAUUGCAACAGAAAAACUGUUUGACAUACAAACAUGACAGCACAGAAGGAACCGAACAGAUCCUAACCUAUUGAGAAAUAAAAGGCUUAAGAAAAAAACCCAGUGAAUAAGUACAAACGUCAUUAAACACAGACGCCCAACGCGAGGCAAUAAACCUAUCUGAACAGAAGGCUCACCUUGAUGAAUUGCAUGAACUCACUGCAAUGAUUGUUGACAAAUUCCUUUCUUGGACCAGCAGGGUUGGCAAGCUCUUCCAUGACUCCUCCUGCUAGUUCUAAAACCCUCACAAUUCUCUGCAGGAAUGAAACACAAAAGUUGGCCAAAAAAUUAUAUCAACAUGGUGCUGCAAUAAAGACCAUGCAAAGAACUAGAAACAAAACGUUUGUGAUAUUGAAAGUAAUUCCAACCUUCUCCACAUUUUGGAGGCGCUGCAAUGAAGUAUUAUGGGCCGGCGGAUCCAUCAAGAGCUAUGCUGGCUGUGAUAAAUCACACAGCAAAAAGAAAUUUAAACAAACUAAACCGUGAACAAAAUUUUAAAAAAAAAUUACUGGUAAACAAACCAAAAAUAGUGUCCUAAUAAGUAAUAAAGGUUAACAUCUCAACUAAAGCUGAAAUCAUCCGUUAUUACAAAGGAUCUCUUCACCAAAGAACCAGGUUUAAGGUUUCUGCCACAUCCAAUAGAUUGUGAAGGCAUUAACGAUGAACAAUAUAGAUCCUCAUAAAAAUCUGGGAAACUGUAGGAAGAUCUACAUAGAGGAAAAGAAUGGAAGGAAAUCGGGCAGGCUAGGGUUGGAUUUGGGAACUCCAACUUGGGAUAGGGAUUUGCUAGGUGGCUGCUUCGGAUUCGAGCAUCCCAUGGGCUUUUGUGAAAGUAGCAUUUCAAGUCUCAAAAUUACUUCAACAACAAUUUCACCCUCAAACCAACUUAAAAAGUACCUAAGAAGUAUCUAAGUGCCUCUUUAACUAUCAAAACUUUAAAAAAAAACCUAUAAAAUACGCAAGAAGUAAAUGGUUCAUGACAUUCACUUUGAUUAACAACCUAAAAAGUUUCUAUAGAUUUUUUCCAAUAAGUUUCCCAAUAGAGUGCAUUGUUUACUAGAGUUGAAAAUAGUCCAAAUGUAUAUAAAAUGAACCAAUUACAGACUCACAUAGAUAAUUUGCAUUUGACACCUAAAAAAUACACCAACCCCAAAUCCAUACAUAGAAAAAUAAAUAAAUAAAUAAAACUUCAAGAAGAUCAAGAAAACUAUUGAAAUUAAAACUGAAAUUAGAGAAUUAAAAGUAAAGUUAGUGAAAUUGAAGAUUCUUAAUGAACAUAAUAAAGCUUGAAAUACCCACAUCUCAAAACUUCAUUUAUGUUGUUGAUUGUACGCAUAGUAUUCAUUUCACGCUUUAUUAAAGUAAGAACAAAAAUUUCAACCAUGUUUUAAGCUUACCUCAGGAAAAAAAAAACGACGAUAAGGUGACCUGCGACGAUGAGCAGGACCAAAACGACGCGAGUGGAUUGAUGGCAACCGGAUUGUAUGUUCGACGACGACUACAAGGAAACGUGCGGCAGCCGCGGUGGAUUGUGGGUGAGGGUAAUUUUGUUUAGAAAGGGAAAAAUGAAAAGUGGGGGAAAAUAAAACGUGGAUAAAAAAAAGUUGGGUGGGGGUAAAAGAGGGAAAAUGAAAAGGAGGUGAGAGUUUAUUUUUCAACUCACUUCUCUCACCACUCAUUUUUAAAACGUGAGAUGGAAAAAUAAAGGAAUUUUUUUUAAAUUAUAAGAAACCACCGUAAUAUUUGCUUCACAAUUUUGAAAACAAAAUUUACACUCAUAAAUAUUAAAAAUGUCCUAAUCAACAUGGGAUUAAUUGGUUACACGCAUGUGUAAUUCUUCUUCUAAAUAAUUAUGAUAUAUGAUCCGAUGAAAAAAAUGUUUCAAAUUCAAACAAUCGUCUUGACCACAUUAAACAUUGUGUUAACUAUGGUAUGCCCAUUGUUUAGAUUAACGUCCCAAAAAACAAUUUUAAAUUGGAUUAUCUUUGUUAAUUUAAUAGUGUUAGAAUUAUUAGAGUGAUUUGAGAUUUUUGUGGAAUGAUAUUGGUUAAUUAAUUAAGUUGGGGAAAAUAGAAUAAUUAUAUUAUUGGAAGAUAAGAAUAAUUAUAUUAUUGGGGAUAAUAUAAUUAUUUAGGAAUAUAUGUUAUUACGGUAUUAUUUAAAUUUUGGAAAUAAUUAUUAUUAUAUUAAAGGAAAUAUAAUUAUUAAGUUGGUAUAUUUUUAUUUCAGGGAAGAAAAAGAAAAAUACGAUUGAAUGGAUAAUUAAUUAAAGAGAGAGAAUGGUUGUUUUUGGAAGAGAAAAGGAAAAGUGAGAUAUUAGGAAAAUAAAUAAUAAUAAUAAUGAUAUUAUUAUUAUUAUUAUAAAGAAGCUUUUGGUUUGCGUGCAAUUCAUCUUCUUCCUCCCUUUACCACGCAAACCUUGGUCACACGUUGUCGCUCUUCUACACUUGUCACUCAUGCAGACAUUGCUACCAUGGAGCAAAGGUAUAGAGAUUUGUUGUUCGAAGCGUUGGCACAAUGUCAGUCUACCCAGAAGAUCGAGACAAAUCAUGUUCAGACACUAGCUGAAAAUGUUAAGAUCCAAACUACAUGAGUUCAGGCCCCUAUUGUAGCCCAGAACCUACCUGAUAUUCUUUUAGCGAAAGCCAAGCAUGAGGGAUGUUAGGAAGUAUAACCGUUGGACUUUUGAUGGAUCCUUAGCAAACUCCACUAAGGGGCAGAUGUGGUUGAGUUCGAUGGAGACUAUAUUUUAUUACAUGAAGUGCUCCAACAACCAGAAGGUUCAGUGCGUCGUGUCUUUACUGACUGACAAAGGCAGAGGCUGGUGGGAGUCCACCGAGAGGAUGUUAAGUGGAGAUAUGAAUCACAUCACCUAAGAGUAGUUUAAGGAGAAUUUUUAUGUCAAAUUCGUAUCCACCAUAGUGAGAGAUGCCAAGUGCUAGGAGUUCCUAAAGCUGAAGCAAGGCAAUAUGAUCAUGGAGGAGUAUGAUCAGGAAUUUGACAUGUUAUCUCGGUUUGAACCUGAGUUAGUGAGAACUGAGGCUAAGAGAGCCAACAAGUUUGUUAGAGACCUUAAGUCAGAGAUCUAGGGUUUCGUUCGAGCCCUUAGACCAGCUACCGGGUUGAUGCACUACGCAUGGCAGUGGAUUUGAGUUUGCAUUAGAGGUUAGAGCUAGCCAAGGCUUUAGAGAAGGGGUCAACCUCGGGACAGAAGAGGAAGGCUGAGUAGUAGCCUGCUGACAUUACCUUUAGAUAUUCGAGUUCAGGUGGCACCUUCCAUUGUCACCAACAGGAGGUCACUAAGAUAGGAGGUACCACGAGGAAGUUGCCUACUUGUCGUACUAGUGGAAAGCAUCAUAUAGGUCGUUGCAUGUCAAAUAAGAGGGUUUGUUUUACAUGCAACCAAGAGGGGCACUUAGCAAACAAUUGCCCUCAAGGUGUUGUUGCCACUAAUCAGUAAGGGGUCGAGAAGCCUGCACAUAAAUGACAGAUACGCUUCCAACGUUGGACAUUGUGCACUAGUUUUGCUUAUUUAAAUUUAGUUUGUUGAGAGUUAUUGAUUUCACAUUAGGAGAAUUAUUUGUUUUAUGGACAAUGAAAUUAAUUAGAUAUUUGAUUGAUGAAUAUUUGAUAGAGAAGAAGGUUGAAGGAUUUGCGGUGAAAUGACUCCAAACUUUUUGAAAAUAGUUAAGCAUUAGUUGUUUUGGUCAAAGUGUUAUUAUUAAAGUAUAUGUUUUGGUAUGUAUUUAUUAUAUUUGGCAUUUAGGUUGACCACCAUUGUGUUUUGAGUUUUGUUGAUAGUAUAAAAGAAGUUAAGAAUAAGAUUUUGCGAUAAGAAAAUUUCAAGGUUGUAACAAACUUACAUCCUAUUCCUACUACUUCGACGUUAUCGUCGCAAUACCAUUUGGGGUGUGACAAUUUAUGUCAGCUGUAGUAAUAUAUUGUUCAUUUUAUUCUUAUUCUUCUUUUAUUCCUUGAACUGGGGUCUACUCCUCGAAUAAAAUAGUUUCUUUCAUUUUUUGUUUUUUUUUGUACAACAAGAAUAAAAAAUUGACGUUCCUUUCAAAGUUAGACCCUUAUACAACAGUGUAAUGCAUGUCUGUCUUGUAAGGGUGUAGUAACGUCCCAAAACCUAAGGUAAUAUUGAAUUUAAUUAUCUUAAUUUUAUUUAAUUAUGUUGUAACUAUUGAGCAUUUACUUGAAAUAUUUUUAUUUAAAAUUGAUGAUUGCGUGGAAUUAGAAUUUAUUAAAUAUUUGUUGAUUGAAUAUUUAAUUAAUUAAUAGAAUUGGAUUCUUUGUCAGCUGGGAAUGAAUUUAAUUAAAUAAUUUGGGUGUUAUUUUAAUUAAAUUAAAGUGUGAAAUUUUUUUGUGAGAGAUUUGAUAAUUAUAUGUAUAUGUUGUUAUAUAUAUAUAAUUACUAUGGAAAAGAGCGAAGAUAAUUAUAUUUAUGAAAACUAUUAUAUAAGAUAAUUAAUUAUUUGAAGAAAAAUAAAUCUUGAUUGUAGAGAUAAGUUGAUAUGAUUGGAUAAAUAAGGAAGGAGAAGGAAUUAGAUUUAUUUAAAAGAAAAUUUGAUAAUUAUAUAUUGGAAUAUAAUUGUUGGAAAAAGAAAUGUAAGUUUUUAUUAAUUAUUAAAUUAUUUGGGUGUUAUAUUCGGGAUUGGAGUUAAAAUUUAAUUAUUGGGUUAAGAUAAUUCAGGUUGGAAUUUAUGAUAAUUUAAAGUAAUUAAUUUAUUGGAAAAGAUUUUGUUAAUUUAGAAAAUUGAGGAUUUAAGUUAAUUUGGGAUCUUCAAAUAAAAAGUCGAUGUUGUGGAAUUGGAAUUAAUUAAUUAUAUAUAUAUAUAUGAAUAUGUAAUAAUAAUAAUAAUUAUUAUUAUUAUUAUUAUUAUUUUCCUUUGUCGGCUUGUUUUCUUUGUGUUUGUUUCCCUACUCUGCUUUUUGGGUUGUUUUGCCUAUUUGUGCUUUUGUUAUUCUUUAUUUGGUUGCUUUUGUUGUUGUUCUUUCGUUUGUUCUUUUGUUUUUGGAGUGUUUGUGAGCGUUGUCCGCUUUUGUACCUUGGCCUCAGGCUGUGAGGUGCUCCUUGUUUUUGUAUAAGGAUUUGAGGACAAAUACGAUUUUAAUUUCCACAUUAAAAAAGAAGAAUUUGGGAUGAUUGAAGUCUGAAAAUUCUAAAAUGUAGAAUUUUUGUUUUUGUGUGUUCUUGUGAUAGAAUGCAUGAAUAUUUGGAAUAUUCAAGUGAGGAUUGAUCUUUCUUACUUGUUGAGUGCUUUGAAGAUUGAGGGUUGAUGAAAGUUUCUAACUUUGUCUGAUUCUUGGUUUCUUAGAUUAUCUAAGCAAUUUGUAUGUAGCCUAUCUUGGAGGUUGAAAUCAAAUUGGUUCUGGUUGAGUCUUGUUGUUUAACAUAGUUCUUAGAUCCAAUGUCCAAGGGUGCCUUAUCACCUUUUUUUAGGACUGACUCAAGAAGUUCUCAAACUUGGCUCAUUUUCUUUUAAGGAAUGCAUUUUCGAUGGUUUUUCACACCCAUCAAACGUUCGUCACUGUUUGGAAGCAUUGGCAAUGUUUUCAACCCUUUUGGUUGGCACCUUAGCCCUACCCAAACAAGAUCGCUUUCCGACCUAUAUUUUUUAGUAAAUGUGUAAGGGACCAUGCCAGGAAUGUAGAUGAAAGUCCAUGGAUUGGAAUUCCUAAACCAUAAAGGCUUACGACCAAGAUAAAGCAAAGAAACAGUCGAAGGAACAGUUUUCAACAAAAAAAUAAAAAAAAAACAGAGUCCAAACAAAGGUUCCUCGAUGUUGUUUUUAGGACCUACAUAUAGAAGUUUUCAAACUUAACCAAUUUUCUAUUCAAGCUUUUGGAUCCCAACAUAAAAAUUUGAACAAAAAAAGAAAAAAAUAAAGUGCUUUGGAUCUUCUUUUUUUUUUUUUUUGCUACUUUUUCUUUUUUUCAACUUUUCUUUUGCUACGUUAUUUUUAUUUCUUUACUGAUUAUUUUUUUAAUGAUUCAGAAGAGAUUUGAAAAAUAUUUCAAAACAAGUUGUAGUACGUCAAAUAUUACAUGCAAAGAAAUUUUGGAAACAAAAAAAUUGAAAUAAGUAAAGAUAAAAAUUCACCUUAAGAGUCAACCGAGGAUGAUAACCAAAUGCUCUGAUACCAAAUGAUAAACGUCCACUAUGUUUGUUAGAUGCAAAGCUAGAGGUCCUUCCCAGAUUCUUGCAAACAUUCACAAAAAACCUAAAAUCUACGAUAGUCACUCUUAGAUCCUAAGACAAUUCACUCCAUGAAUAGUUUGAUCAAGACUAAUCCAAUGAAUUGAUUUUUUACAUCAAAUCUAAAAUAGGAUUUGAACAAGAUAACAUCAAAAGGAGUUGAAUAAGCACAUGCUUUUUAAUAUUGAUAUUCUACUUUUUGAAGAGCAUUACAAGUCAUUUUAUAGGCUAAAUGGUUAUGCAUUGGGUGGAAGCUCAAUACUCACACUUAAAUGCUAAUUAAAGAAAAUAUAUGCAUGGGUGAAAACAUAAUAGCCACCCAAAUACAGUUAAAUACCUUUUGAAGAAAAUAAAACUUAAAACAAGGCUACAUACUAAAUUAAAAGCCAAAAUAAAUAAAUAAGUAAAUAAAAACUAAAAAUGUAGAAAGUCUUUACAACGUCUUCAAUAACUCCUCUAGAACUUUUGCCAUGUCAUCAUUGAUCAAUUCUCAUCUUGACUCAUUGAACUAACAUUGUAAAUAAUUUUUUGCUCAAAAUUAUUUAUCGUUUCAUGUGAAUUUGCUAAUUUUUGAAGUUGUAGUGUAAAAGUCUCUUGAAUCUUCUUUGUCUUGCUUCUAGUAAUUGGUCCUCACGUACAUGAAAAGGUUCAAUGGUUGAAUUCACAUCACAACAUCAUCUAGGUAUAAUGACGGUUGUUUAUGGUAGGGGUUGCAAACUAACAUCUCUUCCCAUGUUAUUUUAGGCAUACUAUAAUAGUUGUUUAUGAUGUUAGUGAGGAACUCUAACAUGUAUAUUAACUUUUAUUAUUGUGUACUACAUGCGUUAGUUUAAAACUGACAUCAUAACUAUGUUAACUUGCAACAAAAAUAUUAGCAAAGUAUGAAAAUCAAAUUCUGUAUAAAUGAUUUUUAUAAUAGGAGCAUUUUUAAAAAUGAUAAAAUAAAUUAAAAUAUUUACAAGCUAUAGCAAAAUUUUUGGAUUCAAUCAAUGAUAGUCACUAAUAGACUUUGAUUUUUCAUAGCUAUCAAUGUCACUAAUAGAAGGAUAUCAUUGUCUAUCAAAUGUUUGCUAUUGAUAAAAUAUAAAAUUUUGUUAUAGCUUAGCUAUUUUUGACAACUUUCUUUUAUUAUACUGAUAAUUCUUUGUCCCGUUUCAACUAAUUUCUCCACACAAAUUGUCGCAACAAAAGGAUCGGUUUAAAGGUGUGACUAAAAUAAGUGAUGGGGUUGGGGAGUAAACAGAGGUAAAAGGGAUGGGUUUGAAGCCUUAAGAAGCAACCAAAUCAAAAGAGGCAAAAUUACACCACUAGUAGCUGUGUAAUUUUAGAGCGCAUGGGUUCUCGGUAGGCAUUGCGGAAAGAGUAUUUCGCGCAUAGACAUUGCAUCUUAGCGCCUAGCUGCUUCAACAAUUUUCUAUAUAAAACUCAUGGAGGCGGAGGAGACACUCAAAGUUCUUUCUCCAUCUUUCUACCACUUUUUGGUUUGAUUUCUUUUUUUACUGUUUAUUUUUAAAAAGUUUUCUUCACUGGACUGAAUGCGUUUUGAUUUAUGUUUCUUCAACUUUGUUUAAUUUAGAUGUGUAUGGAAUGGCUCCUCUAUCAUGGAUUUAUGUUUAUUCGUUCAUCUAGUUUGAAUAACUCAUGUAUCAAAAGUUGAAUAAUGUAUGCUAAGUAAUAUUGAUUUCCUAUAGACCUUGAAUGCGUGCUAAUUAAAUCUAGCUAGGUUCAAACAUAGAUUGGUUGAUUAAUGAAGCUACCUAGUUAACUAUGGAAUCCUAGAAAUUUAUGUGAAGGUUUAUUCUAUAAGGAUGCUUUUGAAUCCCAAUCGUACUUAAGGAUUUAGUUUAAUUCGAAUCUUAGUCACUAAUGGUUUUGAACCAAAUUUGCCACUAAUGCUACACUUCAGUAGUAAUUUUAGUAGAGUUGGUAACUAUACAUAAAUGUAUUUGAUCUAAGGUUUGCAAGUGACAACAAAUAGUUUUCAUCAGUGCACUUCCACCUAUUUAGCUUCCUUGAAAGUUCACUAACCAUCGACAUAAUCUCAAUCACACACCUUGCAUAACCAUCAAGUCAGUACUCAUGUGCAAACUCAUAACUAUGCUAAUACCACAUCUUGCAUUUUGUUUCUCUACUCCAAUUUCUCUAUUUUAAUUUUCCUUUUAAAAAAAAAGAUAUUAUCUUUCUUAAGAAAAAUUGUCAUCUUAUGUUAUAAUAGAGACGACGUUAACAUUGAACUCAAAUCGUUCCUUUUCAUGUGUUCAUGUUGUCCACAUUACCAUAACCCUUUUUUUCUGUUGAACCCUUUAUUUUUCUUCCAAUCUCUAGCUACAUUUAAUUAUUAAACUAAGCUACAUUUGAUACUUUAAACUACUUUUAAACAUCAAAGUUUUGUAACAAGCACCACACCAAUGCAUUAAUCUUAUUGUUAGCGGAUCAUCUUCUCCUAAAAUUAUAAAGUCGGGAUUGAUGGUACAUGAAGAUCCUGUGAGCUUUUUUUACCAAAUAUUUUAUCGCCCAACAACCAUUUUCAUAGUUGAAAGAAAAAAAAUAAGUAGAAUAGUUAUGAGAUUAGUUUUUUAAUAGUUAAAUGCAUAUUAAAAAAUCUACAUACCUCAUCGAUAACAAUUACUAGAUACAAAUUUACCUUUCAUACAAAUUAUAGUUAAAAACUACAAUGUAGACAUCUGAUCGAAUAAUUUCUUCACCCGAACAAAGAACUUAUACUAUAAAAAAAAUCAUUAAUAAAAAAAAGAGUGAAAUUAGGUAAAGAGGGAAAAUUUAGAUGAAUGACACCAAGAAUUUCCCCAACGAAAAGGCAAAAAAGAUAUGACCAAACGCAAGACGACAACACACUUAAAGCAAAACCUAACAACUAAAUAAAAAGAAAGAAAGUAAAACUACUUGUCGUAAGCUAAGCCCCAAACAAACGAAACAUACUCAUGGAUCGGAUCGGAUCGGAUCUGAUAGGGUCGGGUCGGGUCCUUUGAUCUUCCCCUGGUUGACACCACAUGCCGGCUUUUACUUACUAUUGCACUCUCGAGAGAGAACGCAAAGAGAAUUUGGAAAUGGAAGUUCGUGUUCGUUCGAUGGAAUCCGUGAAGUGAGGAUCAAAAAGAAAAACCAUAGCAAAGAGAAUUUUGCGGAGAACGCAAAUCGGAGUUUUUUGGAUUUUGAAGUCCAAUUUGAAAUUGUGGGGGUUCCUAGUCAAUGCUUUUGGACUCCCAACUUCAUAUUUCUGCAAUGGAAGGUCAGAUUUCUCACUCUAAUUCCGAAUUUCUCUCUCUUUUUGCCGGAUUUUUAUUCCGUUUGUCGUGGCGGUGAGUGAGGAGUGUUGGGUUUUUUCUGUUUCUCUCUUUUCUUUUUCCUUUUUCUCUCCCUACUUUUUGUUUCUUCUUGGAAAAGUUUUUGUGGGGUUUACGAACUGGGUGUCUUGGAUUUUCCAGAGAAUGGAGAUGGAAAUCGUGGGGUUUUUUUUUGAGGUGGACGCUUUAGGGUUUCUGGGUUAAGUUAUUUUGUUGGCAAUUUCAAUUUUGAAGUCUCAUUGAGUUUUGAUUCAUAAUUGUGGCGUAUUUGGUAUGAUGAUUGGUGUAGUGUUAUUGAUUGUGGUUCUAAUAGUUGGAAAUGAAAUUAACUGCUGAUAAAUAUGUCUGUUGGUCCCUUCUUAUAUGGAAAUGAAAACUUUUCAUCCCUGUUGCAAACAGCCUCUUGAGUAAUAGUCACUCAAGUUGAGUGGUUAUGGCUGAAACCAAUGUCCUAACAAGCACAGAUAUGGAUACGAGAUACAUAUAGUGCAUGGUGAGGAUAGGGUGAUGCGUCGUUGAAGAAAGAAUUUUGCAGGCGAAGGACACAUUUACUAAAAUAUACAUCUUUUUUAUACAAGAAGGAAAUUUUGAAGUCAAAUAAGUUUAAGCACUUAUAUGUUUAAAAAUGGGUUUGAUGCAUUGACCCUCAAUUUAUUUGAAUUCUUAUGUUUAUCAAUUGUUGGACCUAUAUAGAUUUUGUUUAACUAGUGUCUGACAUAUUUAUUAUGCUAACAAGUGGUCUAACGCAUGUCCAACUUGUGUCAGAGUGUCUGGCUGGACAUACUAGCCAAACUAAAGUUUCCGUGGUUUUUAAGAGACCAGUGUGUCAGAAGGGAAAUUUUUAAUGCUUGUUGGCCUCUAUGUAACCCUUUUCAUAUCUAGUCAAUUGUGAUAGUUGUAUGUAUUUUGGGGCAUUCUGAUCUCUGUUUCUGUUGGAUGCUGAUAGUUAUUAUGCACGGGGUGUGACUGUAAGAAUUAUGAGUGAUAUGGAGCUCAGAUGUAACUUAUGAAAUACAACUUUGGGUUCCAUUAUUUAUAAGUGAUCAUUUGGAAUCUCCAACAAAAUAACGUCAUGGAGCUUUUAUGUGGAGAAGUAACUGCAUAAAUAAGUAGAUGUCUAGUGUGAUUGGUUUUUACAACAGGAGUGUAUGUAAUUCUAUUUCAUAUGACAACUUUGUCAUUUGUUUCUUGAUAUUUUACUUUUUACUACCUUAAUGGAAGAUGAGUUUUUGCAUGUGGCAUUCAUAAGGUAUUUGUGUAUUGAUAAUGAACGCCUAUUAGUUUCAUCCAUCUUUCUUAUUUAUGCUGAAUUUUCAUCUUUUUGGCAAGUAUUUGAAAGUGUGUUUCUGUUAGCAUCUACAACUUUUGUAUUAACCUGAUGUAAAUCAAUACCUACUGUUUCCUAGUUUACUGUUUUAGCUCACUGUUACAGUUUGUUAAAACUACUUAGUUAGUUACAAAAUAACCAACUUGUAUUACUUUUUCUCAAUAAAUAAGCAUCUCCUCUCACAUUGAGAGGCAGAAUAUUCAUUCAUUCAAAAGUAGUCCUUAGUGUUACACCAAUUGGUAUCAGAGCACCAAAAGUUUCUGGGCCAAAUGGCUGUCCGACGUGUAAACCCGGCGUUGGCAGAGCAACUUGCUCAAAACUAAGAGGCGGAUGCAACCCCUUCCUCUCUCCAAGAACGUCCUCACGACGCUUACUGUCCGUGGAAGCUUCUGUUGAGAGAAUUGAAGCUACACGUCAAGAAGUUUUGCAACGACUUGAAAACUUAGCAUCUCCUCAAAUAAUGCAUCAAGAACGUCAAGAAUUCGUCCGAGAUUGGGGCAGUGAGGCAUUCUGGGGCUGGAAUACAUAGAGCUGGGCGAAAUCAUCAAGAAAGAUAGUUUGAAGUUCAAGAAAGGAGGAGAAUAGUCCAAGAUUACCAAGAACCCCAUCCAAGAAUCCAAGGUUACUACCAAAAACCUCAAGAUUGGAACUCUACUGACGAUGAACUGCAAGAAAGGACACUAAAUGAUCAUAACAGAAGGUUUCGGCCACAUGCUGAUGAUAGAUCUUUCUAGUUAUGACGAUAAAAGAAGCAUAGAAAAUUUCCUUGAUUGGCUAAAGAAUACUGAAUUUUUUUUUAAUUACAUGAACACACCCAAGACGAAGAAAGUACAUCUAGUGACUUUAAAGUGGUGGGGGCAAACUGAAGUCAAUAGGAGGAGAAAAUGGAAAAAGACAUAUUGCUUCUUGGGAGAAAAUGAAGAAGUUGAUGAAGGUCCGAUUUCUUCCACCCAACUACGAACAAACCCUCUAUAAUCAGUACCAAAAUUGCCAGCAGGGAAGCAGAACUGUUGCUGAUUACAUAGAAGAAUUCCACCGAUUGGGAGCAAGAACUAAUUUGAUGGAGAAUGAACAACACCUCAUUGCUCGGUUUGUUGGAGGAUUGAGGUUUGAUAUCAAGGAAAAGGUAAGAUUACGACCUUUCCUAAAUCUUUCUGACGCCAUCAUGCCAUCACUCAUGCAGAAUCUGUAGAAGAGAUUAAUGAAUUGAAUUCAAGAAAAAAAUACAAGAAGAGGUCCGUGGAAUGUCAACACUAGCAAUAAGUCUACUGCUGCACACUCUUCUCUUACUCAGUCCACUAAAGAACAAGAGAAAGACAAAGCUGGUGAUCCAAAUGGGAAGAAGGCUGAAGCAAUUCCCAAGAAACAAGCAGAGAAUGUAUAUCAAAGACCUAAUUUGAGGAUUUGCGAACAAACUGACCAUCUAUCCAAGAAAUCCAUAGAAGAAGGGAGAAUACCUAUGAAUUCCAAUUGAUGAACUUAUUGUUCCGAUGCCCCUUAGCUAAAAAUGAAAAAGGUGUCAAUCCAAAAAAGAUCAAUAGUCAUCUCUUCAUCGCUAACCUUGAUGUGCUGGAUGAUGCCAAUGAAGUAAAGGAAUUCCAUGCAACAAACAAUUUGCCAAAUACACUUGUUGAAGUUGCUGAAAAUUCUUUCAGACAGAAUUAAGGAUUUCAAUUGGGAAACUUAAGUUCAAAGAGUAAAUCUCAGGGACCAAGCAGGAUUGAUACUGAUGCUUUUGAAGACAACAUUUGUGGUACAAUAUUUCACAAUAGAAAUAUCCAUAAGUUCAAUACUAAUGAAAACUAUAUAGAAGAUGACGAUUUAUCAAAUAAAAAUGUGAAGGGUGAUAUUGUGGCAAACAAACUUCCUAGUUGUUCAAGGAAGAGGAGAUCAUGUAAGCCUACACGAAGAUACAUUAAAGAAUUUCCAAGCAUUAAAAAAGAGCCAACAAUCUUCCUCUAUGAGACAUUCAACGUAAUAUUUUUGUUCAAAACAUAGGACGUUGGUUUGGUCAUACACCAUGCACUUGAUGGGUGAAAGUUAACUUUCACGACAUCUUGAAACAAACUCGGGACGAGUUUGAUGCUAGGGGGUGGAAUGAUGUAAAUAAAUACCUACUGUUUUCUAGUUUACUGUUUUAGCUUACUGUUAUAGUUUGUUAAAACUACUUAGUUACAAAGUAACCAACUUGUAUUACUUUUUCUCAAUAAAUAAGCAUCUUCUCUCACAUUGAGAGCCAGAAUAUUCAUUUGUUUCUUUAUAUUCUACUUUUUACUACCUUAAUGGAAGAUGAGCUUUUGCAUGUGGCAUUCAUAAGGUAUUUGUGUAUUGAUUAAUGAAAGCCUAUUAGUUUCAUCCGUCUUUCUUAUUUGUGCUGAAUUUUCAUCGUUUUGGCAAGUAUUUGAAAGUGUGUUUCUGUUAGCAUCAACAACUUAUGUAUUAACCAAAUAUUCUUAAGAUGCUGAUUAUUAUUUUAUUAUUUUAAAACUUAUUCUUCUACUAGCUAGGGUUUUAUACACACACACACACACACACACACAUAUAUAUAUAUGUAUAUCCUAAUUUUGAUCACUCGAAGAGUGGUUCUGAGAAUCCCAAGUCACAUUUUAGGGAGUGAGGAGAAGUCUGUACUGAGUAGGCACAUUUUAGAGUUGGCGUCAUUGUAGUAGUUAAAGCUACCAUCACACAUAAAGUACCGACAUUUAUGUAUAUAGAGAAUUCAGACCAGCUUGAGGCUAAUUGAUCAACUUCCUCUGACAGGUAUAUCACCAGACCAGGAAUCAGUGGGUUCUGGAACAAAAAGGUCUAGUGUAUCAACAGGAAGCAAGUCUAGAUACCGGAAGGAGUUUCUUAACAGAUUUUCAGACAGUGAGAUCUUCACAGCUAAACUUGAGGAUUGGUUCGAAGAAAUAUCAGAGAGUUCUAGAACCAAAAAGUCUGUUUUUGAUGUGCCAUUUGAGUUGAUUGAUUUACAGAAGUUUGACUAUGCACUAGAAGGGAUUUCAUUUCAGCAGCUGAUUCGAAUGCCCAGCCCUAUAUAUGCUUCUGCCUCUGAUGGCGUGGAAGCAACUGCUUAUCUUGCUGUUGAAGAUUUUCUUCAUGCAAGUGUGAAAGGUUUGUGGGAGGCAUUUUGGAGUCAAGAUCAGCCCAUGCCUUUUAAUGUUGGCUGCUUAUACAGGGAUAAUUUAAAAUUUUACCAGGCUGAGAAGGCAAUUGCUAGUGGGAAGAUUGAAGGUCUUUCUGCCACUGGCAUAUUGCUAAAGAAUCAUAGACAUCCUCACGGGAAGUGGGACCAAAUUCUUACUCUUGCUGUACUUAGUUCUGAUAUUGGAAAUCUCACUGUGGAUCGUGAGAGCUGCCCUUCUCUGUCUAUUUUAGGUGAGGCCCUUUUUUAUGCUAUCCGAUUGCUAUUGUCAAGAAGCUUGAGCAAAUCAAACUAUUCACCAAGUUUGAGCUCUGUCUUUGUUCUUCUUGUUGAUUCACGGUAUGGAGGAGUUGUGAAAGUUGAAGGAGAUUUAAGUAGAUUGGAGUUUGACCUGAAUAAUGUGUAUGAAUGUGCUGCUAAAUGGAUAAAAGGAUAUGCUACAAUAUCAGUUUCUCCAAUUGAUAGGAUCUGGAACGAGCUUGGAAAUGCAAACUGGGGAGAUAUUGGGGCAUUACAGAUGCUUUUUGCAACCUUCCAUUGUAUUGUUCAAUUUGCAGGAGUUCCCAGGCACUCCAUUGAAGAUCUAGCUGCGGAUCAUAGUUCUCGUUUGCAAACUAGAAGAGUGGAGAGGCAGUUGGGAGAUGUCAGAGUGAAUGGAAAUGGCUUGUUUAGGUUUCAACAACAAAGUGUUUCUCCUGAAAUUGUUGAAGUUCAAGAAGAUUCAAUCAAAUUUAAGUCCGAAGAGAUAGUAAAGUUGGAAGUAGGAUCCGUGCUGUGGUUGGAGGAUUCAAACCGGCAAAAAGGUUAUCAGAUUAAUGAACUCCUGACUACUGGGGAGCUUCAAUUUUAUAUAGCUUCUCCUGUCGAAGAACCUGGAAAGAGUCUGUUUCUUUACGUUGGAUCUCGAAUUUCUCAGCUAGAAGCAUGGGAAGAUAUGAACUUGUGGUAUCAAGUGCAGAGACAGACCAGGGUGCUAACUGUAAUGAAACAGAAAGGUCUAUCUAGCAAGUACCUACCUCAGUUAAGUGCAUCUGGGAGGAUCAUUCAUCCCGGUCAGUGUCGUAGACCUAGCUCAGGUGGCAACUGUGACCACCCUUGGUGUGGCACGCCCAUUCUUGUUACCAGCCCAGUUGGUGAAACGAUAGCUGACAUGGUAAAUGGAGGUAGAUUUAAUUCUGAAGAAGCAUUAAAGUGCUGCCAUGACUGCUUGUCUGCACUCUCAGCUGCAGCUUCAGCUGGAAUUCGUCAUGGUGACAUCAGGCCGGAGAAUGUGGUUUGUGUGAGAUCUGGUGUAAGACGGCCUUAUUUUGUUCUUAUUGGCUGGGGACAUGCAAUUCUUGAAGACAGGGACCGUCCUGCUUUGAAUCUUCACUUCUCAUCCACCUUUGCACUACAAGAGGGGAAACUCUGCUCGGCCUCAGAUGCAGAAAGCCUAGUUUAUAUGCUCUAUUAUGCCACUGGUGGUGCUUUUCCUGAUCUGGAUUCUGUUGAGGGGGCGUUAUUGUGGAGAGAGACCUCUUGGUCUAGGAGAUUAAUCCAGCAGAAGCUUGGUGAUAUGUCUACGGUUCUGAAAGCAUUUGCCGACUAUGUGGAUAGUCUAUGUGGAACACCAUAUCCAAUGGACUACAACAUCUGGUUAAGAAGGUUGAAGAGAAAUAUUCACGAUGAAGACCCAGGGAAGGAAAUUGAUACGUCAGGCUAGGUCUCUUUUGCUAGCUAUGUUGUAUAAAAUUGCUACUCUAUCUCCUGACAUCAUCUCUUCCCAAUUGUGAUUAUGCAUUUUUGGUUGGAGAAGACUGGAUGCUGCAGGUUAGUUGAUGGCUUAAUUACAUUCCCAAGGUUCAAAGUUUUGGACUCAAAGGUGGCUAUUACGAAGGAAUGUUCCCAUCAGCUAGCCAUCUUUCGUUCGUUUUUUAGCCUGGGCCCUCUUCAGAUGUGAUGUUUUCUUUUAGUAUGUUGAAUUGAUUAACAUCUUAGCGUAGUCACAGUAUACCAAUUGACUGGAAUAUAUAUUGAUAUAUACACCUAACAAGAUUGCACUGCUCUUAACCUCCAUUAGCGUUGGUCAACCAGAGACAAGUGCAGUGACGACAAUAUCGACACUGAUUUAUAACUGCGUGGACCAAGGUAGAUGCCAAAAUGUUUCGAGGUAGUUUCUUAGGUAAAGUAGAAUUUAGUAUUGAAUUUGGUGUGAAGAGUACAUUUGUAUAUGUGUGUCUUUGGCUGUUACUUGGGAUUUGUGAUUAAGUUGAUUGAAGUGUAUUUAUUUGGUAAUUUGGGUCAGUGUCCUUGAAAUAAUCAGAAUUGAGGAAAAGAAGAGUUGGAGGUCUAUGUUGUCGAACAGUAUAACAUUCAAAAGAAACUUGUAAUUUCUCUGUAUGGAUAAAAGCUUUAUUUGUAUUCCUCAUUCUACUUCGCUACUACUUUUUUUGUAUAAAGUAUUUGCAGCCUGAUGCUGCUGAAAUUUUUCAGUCACAAGAGAAAACGUGGAAUUAAAAUAAAUAUCUUUAUAGUUAGCAAUAAAGAUUACCCUUAUGUUUUCAUAAACAUUUUAAGAGUAUCAAUAAAUGAACAUUUUAAAACCAUCAAUUAAUGAAGUAGAAGUUUUGAUUUACCAUAUUAUUUCAAAACAUAGCUACCUGAUUUGAACAUCACCACGCAAUUCUAAACCUUAAUUUCUAUUCAAAAUCUUUUAGAAUCUAUACACCAAAGAUAGUAAUACUGCAACUUCAGAAAAGUUCAAAUCAACUUACGGGUACAUAAUUUAUACUCAAAGGGGUACUUAUGAAAAUGAUCGAGUGAUUUUUCAAUUUUCCAAGAGAAAAAAAAAAGUCCAUUUUGCAGCAUGAUAAUUUUUAAAGGCAAGAAUUGCAAUAGGUAUUUGAGAGCUUGAAUUUAUGUAGCUGAAGUAAACAACAACAAACUCGGAUUUCUAAUAUAAGUUCAAAUUAAAAAUUUAACCCCAGAUUCAGUUUAUAAACAUAAAUCCAUGAGCAAAUCCACGACUCUUGAUUGUAUUAAAUUUUCAAGGGAGGAGCUGGUCAUAGGAUGUGAGAUCUUCAAACUGUCUUCAGGAGAGAAAAAUCUCAAUUUGAUUAAGAACAGUACAACAUAACAAAGCAGUAUGAAAAUCACAUUGAGUUUAUCCACUUCCUGAAUCCUUGAAAAAUUCUUACAGGAUGCUCAAAUCAAACACUUGGAAACUAAAUUAAGCAAUUGCAACACAAUAAGAACACCUACAAAUUUCCUUAAUCAGCAUCCAUUUCUUCCAGGGCAGCUUUAGCAGCUGCCUUUGCUUCCUCUAGGAGAUCCUCCGGGACCUGAAAUUGGUUAAAAGCAUGUGGUUAAAGACUACUCUAGCAGGCAACCAAAUUCCCUAAAUUAAACUCGGAAGAAUGUCAGGAAAAAUGGAUGUAGAGAUGGUUGAUGCUACUACUGCAUAAAGAAUGUGACAACCACUAAAUCAAAUGUUAGAAUUAGUGGGCUACAGCACAUGGGGGAUUUGUCCUAAAUAUUCUUUUCCUUUUUUUACCUCUGUAUUUUUUUCUAUUUAUUCUCCCCAAGUACCUAUUGUACAAAUCAGAAAACAAUAAGAAAAAUAUCGUGUCCCACUUUCAAUAUGGUAUCAGAGCUGAGACAUUGAACAAACCCUAAACAAUAUAACUAGUGAUGGAAAUCAAACAGAGGAGACAACCACCAGUUUUAGCGCAACCGUUGUUGAUGCUCAAAUCAUCACUGCCAUGUACAAAUGGUUCCGCCGCCUUCCAAAAACGUCAGAAAGCAUAAUUCAGCAGAUUUUCUCGUCGUCCACCCCACCAAAAAUCAGCCAUGCGCCGGCCCAUCCUGUUUAGAGCUGCCGACCGACCUAACAGUGCCACCCUUGUCUUCAUCCACAACCUGUAGUGUCCCCUACGUGCCAAUUCAUAUACUGCCACCUAAUUUCGACUGGCCACUACCGCUUCUACAGUCAAAUUUGUAUGGCUUGCCACCUACCGGCCUUAGUUAUCAUUCCAAUGUUAGGAACCCUCAAAUUCACUCAAUAUUUGAGGUUGGUGAAUCUUCGACACAUUCCAACCCCAACGUGCAAGCUUCCUCUUCUUCGAGAAUAUCUCAAUAGCAACUUAAAGAACUUCGACAACAAAUUACAACAAUUGAGGCUACUCUAGAGACGACAUCCAACAUCCCUGUACGAAUGUAUUCUAAGAAUCCGGCAACCUCAUUUUCUACUUUAUCCUCUUCCCAUGUGAGUGUGAAUGCUAGUCCAACCACAUUUGGAGCUUUUGUCCAGUCGGGUAUACCUCAGUCCUCUAGUCUCUUUAGUAUUUAUGGUAAGAAUCCUUGGAUCCUAGACUCUUGUGCCACAUAUCAGUUAACCGAUUCCUCUGAACACUUUGUGUCCUACAUUCCGUUUGUUGGGAAUGAGAAGAUAAGAAUUGUUGAUGACUCAUUGGCUCCCAUUGCCGGGAAAAGGCAGAUUUCUCUUUCUAACGGGUUUGCAUUACACAAUGUGUUGCAUGUGCCACAAAUUUCACAUAAUCUUCUGCCAAUUAUCAAGAUUACUCAUGAAUUAAACUGCAAAGCAACAUUCUUACCUGAUUCUGUUUCUUUUUAGGACUUGAUCUCAGGGAGGAUGAUUGGCACUGCUCGGCACAAUAGAGGUCUUUACUUGCUUGAUGAUGAUGCCUCCUUUAAUAACAUUUAUAGGUCGCGUCUUUUAGCUUCCUACUUUACUAUUUCUGAAAAAGAUCUUAUGUUGUGGCAUUUAUGUUUAGGCCAUAGUUUUAAAUAUAUGAAAGACCCAUUUCUUCAUCUCUCUUAUAAUAAAGUUGAUGUUUCUUCCUUAUCUUGUGAUGUGUUGUGUGCAUACAAGCUAAACAACAUCGAGUUUCAUUUUCCUCGCAAUCCUCUAAGCCAACCCGUCUUUUUACUCUUGUCCAUGGUGAUGUUUGAGGACCAUCCAAUGUCACUACCUCCUCUAGAAAAUGAUGGUUUGUGACCUUUAUUGAUGACCAUACUCGUCUUACUUGGGUUUUCCUGAUCUCCGACAAAUCUGAAGCUACCUCCUCAUUCUGGGACUUCACAAAGAUUGCAAUCCUACGAAGGGAUAAUGGUCGUAAGUUUUGAAACUACUCUCUUAACAAGUUUUUAUCCUCUAAAAUUAUUGUUCACCAAAUUUCUUGGACUUACACCCCCAACACAAUGAGGUUGCCGAAAAAAAAAAUCGUCACCUUUUGGAAGUUGCUCGUUCCCUUAUAUUGUCCAAUUCUCUUCCUUCCUAUCUCUAGAGUGAUGUCAUUCUCACUGCCACUCAUUUCAUCAAGAGCAUGCCCUCCUGUGUCCUUCACUUCCAGACACCGUUAGAUUGCCUCAAAGAAUCCCAUCCCUCCACCCAUCUCAUCCUUGAUAGAUUGCCUCAAAGAAUCCCAUCCCUCCACCCAUCUCAUCCUUGAUAGAUUGCCUCAAAGAAUCCCAUCCCUCCACCCAUCUCAUCCCUGAUAGAUUGCCUCAAAGAAUCCCAUCCCUCCACCCAUCUCAUCCCUGAUAGAUUGCCUCAAAGAAUCCCAUCCCUCCAUCCAUCUCAUCCCUGAUAGAUUGCCUCAAAGAAUCCCAUCCCUCCAUCCAUCUCAUCCCUGAUAGAUUGCCUCAAAGAAUCCCCUCCACCCAUCUCAUCCCAAGUGAAAAUGUUGUCAUGGAAGAGAUGAGGGCCCUUGAGAAGAUGAUAAGCAAAUAAUUGGUAUUGAUUAGUUGAAGCAUAGAACGAGUAACGUUCAAGCUAAAUUUUCAGUCUUUAAUGACGAGUUGGAACAUCGAGAGUCACUUGGACACCCAAGGGUCAUAAUGAAUCUAGAAAUUCAUAUCCAUUCACAUCUUUAAUAACGAGUUACAUGUGAAUGAAUCUGAAUUUUUAGAUUCAUUAUGACCCUUGGGUGUCCAAGUGACUCUUGAAGUUCCAACUCGUUAUUAAAGGCUGAAAAUUUGGCUUAAAUGUUACUCGUCAUGCUUCAGCUAAUCAAUACCAAUUAUUUGCUUAUCAGAAGAACAAGACUUGGGAGAUUUGCGCUUAACCUAAGGGACAUAUAAUUGUGAAAUGCAAAUGGGUGUCCACACUCAAAUACUAGGCAGAUGGCACCCUCGACAGACACAAGGCGAGGUAAGUUGCAAAAGAGUUUACUCAAACUUAUGGUGUUAAUUAUUCAGAAACUUUUUCUCCUGUUGCCAAACCAAAUACUGUUAGUCCCGUUAUCUGUUGUUGUGAACAAAGAUUGACCUCUUUAUCAGCGAGAUGUUAAGAAUGCAUUCCUGAAUGGAAACCCAGAGGAGAAAGUCUACAUGAGCCCUCCCCAGGGUUUGAAGCUCAGUUCGGUCAUCAGGUGUGUAAACUUCAAAAAUCUUUGAAUGGUCUGAAACAGUCACCUAGAGCAUGGUUUGAUAGAUUUACUACCUUUGUCAAGUCCCUAGGAUACAAUAAGGGACGCUCUAACCAUACUUUGUUUACAAAAGUCCCCAAGGCUAGGAAGAUUGGUAUUUAUUGUUUAUGUUGAUGACAUCGUUAUAUUUGGGGACGACCACGCUGAAAUUAUCCAAUUGAAAAGGAUGGGCGAUGAGUUUGAAAUCUGAAAUAUUUCCUUCAAAUGGAGGUAGCCAGAUCUAAAGAAGGUAUCUCCAUAUCUUAGAGGAAGUACACUCUUGAUUUGCUGACCGAGACAGGUAUGUUGGGGUACCACGUUGUUGAUACUCUCACUGAAUUCAACUGUAAACUAGAAAAUUCAGAUGAUAAAGUUCCAGUUGAUAAAGAACAAUUUCAACGCCUUUUGGGUAAGUUGAUUUAUUUUUCCCAUACUCAAUCAGAUGUUUCCUUUGUUGUGAGUUUUGUGAGUCAGUUCAUGCAAGCUUCCUAUGAGGAACACAUGAAGGCUGUAAACAAAAUACUAAGAUACUUAAAAACGACUCCUGGUAAAUGAUUGAUGUUCAGAAAGACGAACAUGAAAACUAUUGAGGCUUAUACUAACUCAGACUAGGCAAGAUCUGUUGUUGACAAUAAGUCUACCUCCAACAGUACCUUUGUAUGGAGAAAUCUUGUAACUUGGAGGAGUAAGAAGCAAGGUGUUGUGACCAAGAGCAGCGCUGAGGCCGAAUACCGAGCUAUGAGUUUAGAAACAUGUGAGGAAAUUUGGCUCAAGAAAGUCCUAUCUGAUCUCCAUCAGAAGUGUGAGACACCAAUGAAGCUUUUUUGUGAUAAUAAAGCCACUAUCAGUUCACCAUGAUAGAACUAACCAUGUUGAGAUUGAUCGACAAUUCAUCAAAGAAAGACUUAACCAUCAGAGCAUAUGCAUUCUGUAUAUCCCUUCGAGCCAAAAAGUUGUUGAUGUCCUCACCAGGGGCUUCUUAGAUCAAAUUUUGACUUGUGCUAGCAAGUUGGACCUUAUUGAUAUUUACGUCCCAACUUGAGGGGGAGUGUUAGAAUUAGUAGGCUUAGUCUAUUAAGGGAUUUGCCCUAAAUAUUUUUUUUCUUUUUUUUCCUCACUAUAUUUUUUCUAUUUAUUCUCCUCUUGUAACAAUUGUACUUUUAUCAAAAAAUAAUAAGAAGAAAAAUAUCGUAGUUUUUCUCCCGGUACUCGGGUUUCCACGUAAAUCUGUGUUUUUUGUCUCUACUUUCAAUAUAAAAUAAUGAAACUACCCUAGUAGGCAACCCAGAACUACACAUCGUUUGCAUGUAAAGAAUGUGAGAACCACUAAAUAAAAUAAUGAAAUGAAUAGUAAUGUGACAAUAAAAUAGUAUUGCAGCUAUAACAUCCUAAUUCUUUUCAAAGGAAUUAUGCAUCACUAAAAAAUUAAUGAACCCUAGAUUCCCAACACAGCUUGCAGAAGUCCCCAUCAUCCCAAGGAAAAACGAAGUUUGAGGUAAUCAGUUCAGAACUUGGAUACAGCUCUCCACAAUCAAAUUUAUUUACCACCAACAUUCAUUAAGCUACCCCAUACUGGUGUUGAAAAUAAGAACAAAAGAAAAGAUCGACAAAUUGUCCAGAGACUUGACUUAGAGUGUGUUUUGAUUUAAAUUUUCAAGUGCUUGAUUCUGGAAAAUGUGUUUAAAAAAAUUGGAGUAUUUGGCAAACUACCAAAAUAGGUUUCGAGAAACUUUUAAAGUUUAUUUUAAACAGUUUUUAACUUUUAUAAGAGAGUUUAAAUAAAAGACAUUUCGAAAAACGUACUUUUCUCUCUAGUUAAUAUAAACAUAUUAUAUACCCUUCAAGGAAACAUAACAAAUAUCACAACAUAUCAUGUAACAAAAUUUUGAAAAAAUGAAUGCAAUUUCAUUCAUUCUAUAACAUUCACAGUACCUUCUGAUGUUGGUGGUUUGAUUCAUCACAGAUCCAACUCAUUUCCAACUCGAAGUCCUUGUCCUUUGCCUCAUCAUGUACUCCAUAAAUACUGCUCACCAAAAAGAGCAAAACAAAGUUUAGGUUGCAAUCAAACAGUUGUUCCAAAAAACUACAUGAUCAACUGUUUCAGCAAAACUCAACAACUCAAAAGUUACUCACAUCUUGGCUACUUCAAUAACCCCUUGCCGACAGGUCAAUUCAGAGAGCUUCAACUUUUCAAUUUCCCUGUCAUUGUAUUGCUUGUACAUCAGGAAUAUUACUUAAAUUUUCAUAAAUAAGAGAUAACAUACAAUAUGCUGUAGGGAUGGUAAAUAUGCACAUAUUCAAUGGUGGUCUGCAAUUAUAAGAAAAGGAGUAUUUGAAGUUUCCCUUCUUUGACAAAAUUGCUUUAAUUAUAGGCACCUUAGUAAAAAAUAUUUCAGAAUAAAUAACCAAGUGUUUUGUUCUACAUUUUUCAAAUUCUCUUUUCAAUGUCUAUGUUUUAUGGUUUAGCAUGAGCACUUAAGCUAAAUCACUCCACACUAUGUUUUAAAGCUUGAUGCAUAAUAAACUGCAAUAGUCUUCUAGGGUCUAAGCGCAAGGCAGAAAAUAAAAAUAAAUAAAUAACAUGGACAUUUUUGUGUGGGGUACUAUAUAUAUAAAAGUACUACAACAUAAAGAAGGAAAGCAUAGUUGAAAUAGGAAUACAAAAAAAAUGAAGAAAAGAAAAACCCUAAACAUAGAAUUUUGCAUUUAGGCUUUUAGUAAACUUUAUUUUAUUUAUUUAAUAAAGAAGAAAAAUGUCUAAUAUUAUUCUUAAAAAAUAAGGAAAACUCUCCAAGGCCCAGGACUUGGGGCCUUAGGGCUUCACAAAGGUGCACACCUAAUGUGCAUUUUUUUAAAUAUUUAUGAGUAUCCAAGCUAGCUUACACGCACCUCGACUAAUUUCACACUUUAUAUUGUAUGUCUGGCCUUCUCAAGGUCAGACACCAAACCUAUCUGAGAGGACUUUUUAAAAGCCUAAUUCCACAAGUAAUUGUUUUACGCAUUUGAUUUUUUCUAAUAACACUUCUUCAAUAAGAACGCAAGAGUAUUAAAAACACUAGUAAGUUAUUCCAAACAUGAUCUUGAGUGGAGUGUGCUUUGGACAUGACUGCUAAACAUAUACGUCUUCUUAAAUACCGCAGCCUUCUUAUUUGGCAUAGAUUAUUUAUAUGAUGAAGAAAAAGUUCUACAAAAAUGCUCCAUCAAUAAUGAGACAAAGAUGUAAACAUAAAAAAUAAGAGAUAGGUUCGUUGAAGAAAACUGCAUGAGAUUUUCUACUACAAAUUAACUAGUAUCGACCAUUUUCCUCCAGUUUCUUGCAUCACUGAGGUCAGAGAGGCCAUAUACAAUAACCACAUCAUCUGGAAUUUCAAUACUGGUUAAGUUCCAUUUUAUUUAAGAUUUAAGAAUAUCAACCAUAAACUAGUCAAUAAACUCACAAUGUAGCAAGAACGAUCUAAAACCUAAAAUCCUUCAUACAAAUCUCUUUUCCCAAGUACUACUAAAUUUGAUUUUUACAACAAACAACUUUUCCAAUAUGGUGACGAUUCACAUACCAACCAUAAAAAGCUAGACAUGGAUCUCCUACUCCAACAUAAACAUAGAUUUUCUAUGAUGAAAACAACUUCAGAAAGAAAUAACAGAAAAUAAAGAAUAAAAAAACCAAGCCAACAAAAAUAAGGAAGCCCAUCUAAAAACAUAGAUUUUCUAUGAUGAAAACAACUUCAGAAAGAAAUGACAGAAAAUAAAGCAUAAAAAAACCAAGCCAACAAAAAUAAGGAAGCCCAUCUAAAUGAAGGGACUCCAACUAUACAAUACAGUGCCCAUAGAACAAUUACAAUCCUACAUAAACACACAGGACAAUCCAUCUGAAGUCUUAUUGGUUAUAGCUUAUAUAACGAUUUGUACUGGGUUGUAGCAAUCAUGCAUCCAUGUAAAUGGAAACUCAUUCUCAUCAAAUUAAAUUAUAGCAGCUCAAUUAGAAAGAAAUAAUGGAUUGGUCUCUAGUCAAAACCCCACAAGAAGAAUCAUGACAAGUAAAUUUUGUAUCUUACGUUUUCGCAGCUUGCCUACCCUUCCCAAUUGCAGCACCAUAGUAUCUCUAGAAAAAUACCAAAAAGGAAAACAGGUCAGUUCAUAGAGCAGCAAUUGAUGAUGUACAUAAGUAGUUUUCAAGUGUAGCGAACAAAAUGACAUUCAUGUUAAAACUUUCAAGUUUGCAACAUGUCAAUAUGUAUACUCACGUACGAAACACCAGAUGGUUCAACCAUGUACAAUUGUGGUCCAUCUCUGUCAUAACCUCCAAGAAUUACACCACAUCCAAAAGGUCUGCAAUGUUAAUUUUAAUUAUAUUUAAGGAGAAAGCAGCAAUUUCAAAUAUAUAGUAUAGGUUUUACUGAAAUCACAACAAACCUGAGCCACCAGUAAAGUGUGCAGAGAUGCACAUAACUAGCAACACGGUCAGCUAGUUCCUUAACAGGGAUUGGUUCACCAUAUACACUGCAUAAAGAGUCCGUAAAAAAACAAGAUAAGCAUUCAAUAGGAUAAUGCAAAACCAACAAUACAGCUUAAAUAACCUCAGAUAAGGGCAUUAAAAGAACUGAUAACUUCUUUCUCAUGCUCAGCAAUGCUAUCAUCAUCUCAUAGUUUUCGAAUGGUUUACUAUUAUAAUCAUACUGGUGUCUAGAGCAUCAUAAAUACUAACACUGCUGAUCCCUCAUAACUCCAAGCAUAUAUUUCACUACAUUUAUCAAGUCAAACUCAGGAAUCAGAAAUCAACAUAAGAGCAAAUUCAAUUCAUCCAAGUAUGAUCACCAAACGUUCAUCUUCAAUAUGUACUCUUACAGAGUAACAAAUAUCAUCACUAACAAAGAGAGAGAUGUGCUUAAGACUAGGUC